CAGUAGCCGGGUAAUACGAAGGGUGCAAGCGUUACUCGGAAUUACUGGGCGUAAAGCGUGCGUAGGUGGUGGUUUAAGUCCGUUGUGAAAGCCCUGGGCUCAACCUGGGAAUUGCAGUGGAUACUGGGUCACUAGAGUGUGGUAGAGGAUAGUGGAAUUUCCGGUGUAGCAGUGAAAUGCGUAGAGAUCGGAAGGAGCAUCUGUAGCGAAGGCGACUAUCUGGGCCAACACUGACACUGAGGCACGAGAGCGUGGGGAGCAAACAGGAUUAGAUACCCCCGUAGUCCCUGUCUCUUAUACA
rnacentral:rRNA from 1 species